rnacentral:rRNA from 1 species
GACGAACGCUGGCGGCGUGCUUAACACAUGCAAGUCGAGCGGAAAGGCCCUUUCGGGGGUACACGAGCGGCGAACGGGUGAGUAACACGUGAGCAACCUGCCCUUAACUAUGGGACAACUGCCGGAAACGGUGGCCAAUACCGGAAAUGAAUUACACACGCAAGUGGGGUGGUGGAAAGCCAUCGGGGGGUGGGGGAUGGGCUCGCGGUCUAUCAGCUCGUUGGUGGGGUGAUGGCAAACGAAGGCUUCGACUGGUAGCCGACCUGAGAGGGUGGCCGGCCACACUGGUACUACGACACGGACCAGUAUCCUACGGGAGGCAGUAGUGGAGAGUAUUAGGCAAUGGGCGAAAGCCUGAUCUAGCAGCGCCGCGUGAGUGAUGACGGCCUUCGGGUGGUGAACAUCUUUCGCCGGCGACGAAGCGGUAGUGACGGUAGCAGGUAAAGAAGCACCGGCCAACUACGUG